UACGUAGGCAGCAAGCGUUGUUCGGAAUUACUGGGCGUAAAGAGUGUGUAGGCGGUUCGCUUAGUUUGGUGUGAAAUCUCCCGGCUUAACUGGGAGGGUGCGCCGAAAACUGGCGGGCUUGAGUAUGGGAGAGGGAAGCGGAAUUCCUGGUGUAGCGGUGAAAAGCGUAGAUAUAAGGAGGAACAUCUGUGGUGUAGACGGCUUUCUGGACCAUUACUGAGGCUGAGACACGAAAGCGUGGGUAGCAAACAGG
rnacentral:rRNA from 1 species